CCUACUUGCAGCUCAGAAGGAGUUAUGGAAAGACAACUCUGAGAAUUCUGAGAAAAAUAUAUCUCAAAUUAGGCAGACUUGGCUUAGGCAUCCAUUGGCAAAACAAAUUGAAAAUGUGAAUCUCAUUUAUUUGAAAAUUUAUUGUUGAAGAUGAAUAUUCCCAGCCAACCAUUAUUUAAAACGUCAUCUGAGGAGAGUAAAAAAGAGAUUGGAGUAUUGACACAAGCACAAAGAUUCUUUUACUCUUCACUCCUGGGUCUCUUCCAAAAAUACAGAUUCUUCAACUGUUCCAGAAAAGAUGUAUCUGAUAUAUGGCUCCAGGUAAAGACUGCAAAAGUUUCAUAACCUUCGGAUAUGUAGUUGAUCCUCCACGACCUCCACUUUCAUUUUGACCUUGACCUG